rnacentral:miRNA from 1 species
UUGGGAUCUCUUUAUAAAGCGU